CGUGCCAGGACAGGAUGGAAGCAGCCGUCAG
rnacentral:SRP_RNA from 15 species